UACGGGGGGGGUAAGCGUUGUUCGGAAUUAUUGGGCGUAAAGGGCUCGUAGGCGGUUUGUCGCGUCGGGAGUGAAAACCCAGGGCUUAACUCUGGGCUUGCUUUCGAUACGGGCAGACUAGAGGCAUGCAGGGGAGAACGGAAUUCCUGGUGUAGCGGUGAAAUGCGCAGAUAUCAGGAGGAACACCGGUGGCGAAGGCGGUUCUCUGGGCAUGUCCUGACGCUGAGGAGCGAAAGUGUGGGGAGCGAACAGG
rnacentral:rRNA from 1 species